rnacentral:rRNA from 1 species
UUGAAAGGGAAACGAUUGAAGUCAGUCGUACCUGCGGAUAAUCAGCCUUUAGGAUGCGAUUUUGUGGAGUGUGAGGAGCUAAUCGCCUUCAUGCCUGCAUAUUCGUGCUCUUGGGUGUACUUGCUCGUGUGGUUGGUUAACAUCAAUUUCGGUUAUCAUAAAAUGGCUGGAGGAAUGUAGCUUCGAUCUCGUAUUGAAGUGUUAUAGCCUUCGGCAGAUGUGAUGAUUGGGAUUGAGGAUUGCAACGGAUACCCUUCGGGGCUACCUGUCUGAUUUCUGAUCGUUGCUCUGGUGCCGAAAGCUUGCUUACGGUUAUCAAAGUCGAUGGUCAAUAGGUUAGAACGGGUUAAAUUCGUUAAGGAUGUUGACGUA